GACGUAGGAUGCAAGCGUUGUCCGGAAUUAUUGGGCGUAAAGAGUUCGUAGGCGGUUUGUUAAGUCUGGUGUUAAAUACCGAAGCUCAACUUCGGCAUGGCAUCGGAUACUGGCAGGCUAGAGUGCGGUAGAGGUCUCGGGAAUUCCUGGUGUAGCGGUGAAAUGCGCAGAUAUCAGGAGGAACACCAAUGGCGAAGGCAGCUCGCUGGGACGUGACUGACGCUGAGACGCGAAAGCGUGGGGAGCAAACAGG
rnacentral:rRNA from 1 species